rnacentral:rRNA from 1 species
AUUGAACGCUGGCGGCAUGCCUUACACAUGCAAGUCGAACGGCAGCACGGGAGCAAUCCUGGUGGCGAGUGGCGAACGGGUGAGUAAUAUAUCGGAACGUGCCCAGUCGUGGGGAUAACGUAGCGAAAGCUACGCUAAUACCGCAUACGAUCUAUGGAUGAAAGCGGGGGAUCGCAAGACCUCGCGCGAUUGGAGCGGCCGAUAUCAGAUUAGGUAGUUGGUGAGGUAAAGGCUCACCAAGCCGACGAUCUGUAGCUGGUCUGAGAGGACGACCAGCCACACUGGGACUGAGACACGGCCCAGACUCCUACGGGAGGCAGCAGUGGGGAAUUUUGGACAAUGGGCGCAAGCCUGAUCCAGCAAUGCCGCGUGCAGGAUGAAGG